rnacentral:lncRNA from 1 species
UUUCAAUGUGUUUGUCGUCAUUGUGAUGCUACUAAGAUGGUCCAGCGAAUCCAGACAGAGCCAUUAACUUUUGAAGUUACCUAUGGGGAAAGUCACAGUUGUGGUCAAGAAAACAAAAACCGAAAUGAAGAACUACUAGUUGCUGUGGGAACUCAAGUUGGAAGAGCAGCAGGGAAACUAUCUGAAUGUUACAUUCCUGAGAUGGUUACCCCAAAUAAUUCUAAAACGAAAUAUCCAUCUGAUAUUACAUACGAUACUAUCCUACAGUUAUUCUCAGACCAACCAAGUUAUAUUCAUUUAUAAUCAAGUCAAUUUUAUUAACUCAAAGACAAAGUGACCAAAUCUCCAUUUACUGAAAUUGGAGUAGAACUUCUAAAUUAUAGAUGUUUGUACGUCCAUGAAUAUACAAGCUAAAGGUAGAUAUUCUUAAUUGGGAAAAGAAACUUGUAUUCCAAAAAGAGAAACUAUUUACAAGCGGCUACUCCUUUACUUUCACACCCCUCUAUUUUUAACUACUAAUUCACAUUUACAGUAUAUACCUUGAUGGUAUCAAAGAGGAAGAAAUAGUGAUUCAGUGAAAACAUUAUUCAAUUACUCCUUGAUACUAUUUGAGUAUAUAUAGCUCUGAUGGCUCAAUUACUGCUUGAUAUGAUAGAUAACAUUAUAGUAUAGAAGGUUCAAUAUCUCCCAUAAAGCAAAUUAUGAUGACUAAGAAGGGAGAUAAGGGUCUAUUUUGGUGAAAAGACAAAACAGUCCCUACAAAGGCCUUGAUAGUCAACUAAUGCAACAUGUGUUGACUCUAUCAAUAACUACAUACAUUUGUUAUGGACAGGGAGACUUGUAAACAAGUCUUCAAACUACUAAUUUAUAUACAACUAGCAAAUUACUUUUUCUCAAAUUCAUAUUCAGAUCUGUUUAUUGUUUUGGCUAUAGCUUUGUUUGAGCAUAGUCAGUCUGUUUGGUGACUCUGUAUAGCUGCGAAAAAAAUGGGAGAAAACAAUUUUUGGGAGAGAGAAAUAGUGAUUGCUGAGCUAACCAAGGGGAAGGAAUUGAUGUUGCAGCUGCAGAAGCACUUUGAUCCCAUGAAACAGUUAGUGUGCCAGUAUUUGGCUGUGGAAAUACUUUCUUCCUAUGAUAAAGCUAUGUCCCUCUUGAAUGGCACAGCUUUAUCAGGUAUGAUGAAGAGCAAAGGUAAAGAGAUUAUUCAUCCAGCACCGUCUUCAUCAACUGCGCCCCAGCUGGAAUCUCCUCAUCUUCUGGCUGACAGUAGCACAAAGAGUUGUGACCGUCCCUCUAACUACAGGAAGAGGUAUUCAAUCUCAUCCCUGUCUCUUUUUUUGUUUUGUUUUGUUCAACCAUCUGGUGUUCAGAACCUAUUUAUCGUCUAAUCGGAAUUCACAUAGAAAGUCCACCAUGGGAUUUUAGUGGUAUUUACCUAAUAGGACUACUUGUUCAGGACUCGAGACUCUGGUUAUAGUGAAAGAACUUUUCCUAUUCUACUUCAUCCCUUUAUGGUAUUUUCAUCCCUCACUUAUAACUGAAUUGGAGUACAAAAUUUAAUGUGAAUUGAAGUGAUACGUGCUACAUUAAGCUUAGAUCUUUAGAACAUUAAGAGUGUCGUGAAUCGCUUUAUAUCUUAGUGGUAUAUUGAAUGCUUUGAAAAAUCUAGAUUUCCUGGUCCUGAGAAGUGGUACCUAACUAGCCUCUCUCCACUUACUACAACAACAUAUCCGAAGGGUAAGAUGUAAGCAGACAUUACCCCUACCUCUAUGAGGUUGAGAUGAUGUUUUUGAUAGACCCUCGAUGCCAAAACUCUCUUAACUAGCUAUGGUUAAGUAAUAAAAUGAAGUAGGAUUAUAUAUGAAUGAACCUCGAUCAAGUGAUAAAAUGAGCAGAGACUUAUUGGUUUGAUGCUAGUACUUGGUGCCGAUAAAUACUUUUUCUCUAAUAAUGCUACAUGAUAGUAAUUAUAUUUGAAUAUGUAUGUUCUCCAAAGAGAAAGUUACCAAAUUGUAUGUAAACAAUUUCGCCUAGCCUAACUGUAAUUUACUCAGAUGAUCAGGGCAUGAAGCGGAUAAGUUUUAGAAACUCAAAUUGUAGUAUUCUUAUACGUGUUAAAGGUCCUUGUUAGAAACUUCAACGUUACACGAUUAAUCAUUAUAGGAAGAUGCUGGCACGAAGGAAAGAGUAUGUAGAAGCUCGACCUGGAGAAGAGGUUCCACCUGAAGAUGGACUUAGUUGGCGGAAAUAUGGGCAGAAACUUAUCUUAGGUGAAAAAUAUCCCAGGUGAGUACUAUUCUUAAGUUCCUUGACCAAAAAUCUGAGUAUCUAUUUCGUGAAUGAAUUGACCAAAAGGUUGUAUGAUGAUACUAUACUAUCUGCGUGUGGAUUUCACAUAUGGUCAUUGAAUAUUGGAAAUGCAGAGAAUAUUAUCGAUGUCCUCGUCGUUGUUGUGAGGCUACUAAGAUGGUCCAGCGAAUUGAGACAGAGCCAUUAACUUUUGAAGUUACCUAUGGAGGAAGUCACAGUUGUGGUCAAGAAACCAAAAACCAAAAUGAAGAACUAAUUGCUGUGCAGCAGACAAAAUGUGAUGAAGUUGGAAGAGGAGCAGGGCAAAUAUUUGAAUCCUAUAUUCAUAAGAUGGUUUCGACCCCAAAUAAUUCGUAUAACA